UUAUAUUUACUAAAUCAAAUUGAAUAAAAUAAGAUUACAGCAAAACCUUAUGUUUCUACCAAAUGUCCAUGUGCUCUGCUAAUUGUUCCAGGUAUACCCGGUACAACACAGCUAACUCCCAUCACUCAAGGACAACCAGUGGGAGCAGACCCGGAGAAUGAUCUACUAAAGCAUGUGUCCAUCUCCGUACCAGUUGUUGCCAUUCUGACCAUCAUUGUUGUUGUUGGAAUUGUCCUUGGCAUAAAACACAAAAGGUCAGCAUCCUUUAUCAGGGAGGAUUCAAGAUAUUAUGCUAAUUUCAGCCGAGCAAACCAACUGCAAAGGGAAGCGUCUUGCCAGAAACCAGAGAACAGUAAAGUUUCUGAACAGAAAGACAUUGAGGAACCGGUUUACGCCAACAUUGAGAUCAGAUGGAUCAAAGUGCGGAUCACUUAGACAACAUAUAUGCCAAUGUGGAUCAUUUAAAACUGUAGGAAAGCUGCGUCUUACAAAUCUAUUCCUAAUCUUUUCGGUUUUAUGGCAUAGAGACUACUUAACAUUCCAAAAGAUAAGAU
ensembl:lncRNA